GGAGGGAUCAUCAAAGAAUAAUAUAUAUUACAAACCCCAAGUGUUAGGGGGGGGAUAAAAGAAGGAAGGGGGGAUAUAUAUGGCUGAUGCUGUUUUCUUCUCUCUCUCUAUCUCUCUCACUAAUGCUUCAAACAAACGAUCACAACUAAAAUUGACUUGGUGGCCUUAUAUAUAAAUGUUUGCCUGAUAAUCUGAUUAUUGGAAUAUAACAAAUACAACUUUCAACAACGGAUCUCUUGGCUCUCACAUCGAUGAAGAACAUAGCAAAGUGUGAAAAUUAAUGUGAAUUGCAGAAUUCAGUGAAUCAUUGAGUCUUUGAACGCAUCUUGCACUCUUUGGUAUUCCAGAGAGUAUGCCUGGUUGAGCAAUGUGAAUAUAUCAUCAAUCUGAAGAGAUUGGAAUUGAGUGGUUUACCUUGUUGUUAUAAAAAAAAAGACAAGGUUCACUUGAAAUGAAGAGAAGAAUGACAACAACAAACAGGGUUUGGUGUGGUUGAUCAAGAGGAAAAAAGACAAGCAAAUUUGAUUUGGUGAACGUUGACUUUUGAAAAAAAAAGAAGAUUGGCUUGAUUUUUAACAACAAUGACUUGAUGAAGGGAAAAACAACAAUGCAUGGAUUAUGGUGGAUAAUGAUUUGGAUUGCGUUGGGUGCGCACAAAAAAGUCUUGUUUAGAGCUUUUCUUCGCUUAUUAUAUCUUUGGAACCUUGAUCGUGUUAUCUGUCUGUCUGUCUGUCUGUCUAUAAUUCACAACUAGGAAAUUAUUAUUCUAUCUUAUCAUUCUCAACUCAGGCAAGACUACCCGCUGAAUUUAAGCAUAUAAAUAAGCGGAGGAAAAGAAACUAACAAGGAUUCCCUUAGUAACUGCGAGUGAAGCGGGAAAAGCUCAACUUUGAAAUCUACUAGGAGUAAUAUUCCUGGUCGAAUUGUAGUUUCAAGAAAGAGUGGCUCAGGGAAGCUGGUUGGGUGUAAGUUCCUUGGAAUGAGACAUCAGAGAGGGUGACAAUCCCGUCUACCGUCCUUCCGCUUUUCUACCAAGCCCUCUUUUCAAAGAGUCGAGUUGUUUGGGAUUGCAGCUCAAAAUGGGUGGUAAAUUUCAUCUAAAGCUAAAUAUGGGUGAGAGACCGAUAGCGAACAAGUACCGUGAGGGAAAGAUGAAAAGCACUCUGAAGAGAGAGUGAAAAGUACGUGAAAUUGUUGAAAGGGAAACGCUUGAAACCAGUCAAGGUUGAUUAGAUUUCAGGGGGGUAUAUUGUUGGGUAGGAUUGGUAUGGGGGAUUGGUUCCUUAUGUGAAUUAACUCUAUAUUAGUUUUGCACUCAAUUAUACCUUCUGUAUGUUUCUAAUGAACAAGUCAGCAUCAGUUUGAUUGCUUGGGAUAAAGGUGACAGGAUUUGGUCAAUCUUUCGACGAGCCUUGUUUGCUCUCGGAGUUUUGAGCCUGCUUAUCAUGAUACCAAGUGUUGGACUGAGGAAUGCAGUACAAGACAUUGACUUGGAAUAGGCAAUCAUGGGUGUGUUGUCUUUGGUAAACAGCUUGCUGAUUAUCGAAUAACUCCCACCUAUGACUUGUCAAAUUCAAGCUGGUCUUGACUUUUGGAUGUUGACGAAAUGGUUUUAAACGACCCGUCUUGAAACACGGACCAAGGAGUCUAACAUGGAUGCAAGUAUUUGGGUGAUUGGAAACCCAUAUGCGCAAUGAAAGUGAAUUUUUUUGAUAGGUAGGAAGUUAACUGUAAUAUAUAUAUAUAUAUGUUGACAGCACUAUCGACCGAUCUUACCUAGCUUCGGCUUACUAGAUUUGAGUAAGAGCAUGCAUGUUGGGACCCGAAAGAUGGUGAACUAUGCCUGAAUAGGGUGAAGUCAGACGAAAGUCUGAUGGAAGCUCGUAGCGAUUCUGACGUGCAAAUCGAUCGUCAAAUUUGGGUAUAGGGGCGAAAGACUAAUCGAACCAUCUAGUAGCUGGUUCCUGC
rnacentral:misc_RNA from 1 species